ACCUACAUUUGUAGCCAGGUCAACAUCUAUGAUAGUCCAUAAAGAAGAAUCAGCUAUGGUAGUCCCUGCUAACACAUGUGAUGAAGAAGUGGGAAGGUCUCAGCAAGCCAUGGAAGGCAAUAGUGAAGUAUCCAUGUCUAAAUGGACGGUGAUAGUGCGGAAGAACAUGCAGAAAGCUGGAAUGUAUGCCAAGCAUUCAUCGAAUACACCAUUACUCAGAGGUUUCAGGAAUUAUUUGUCCAAGACAUUAGGAGUUUGCAACAGUAAACAGGAGGUAGAAAAUGUUGCACGGUAUUUACAUUUCAUGGACCCACAAAAAGCAUCAAUGGAUUUUGUGAAAGACAUAGAAAAAACUAAUCUCUACUUCACAAAGCUGAGGGAACUUGGUCUCUGUAGCCAAACAGUAUUUAAUUAUUUAAAAAAUAUAA